rnacentral:tRNA from 1 species
GGUAAUAGCUCAGUGGUAGAGCACAAGCUUAGCCUGAGGUCCUGGGUUCUAUCCCUAGUACUUCCA